rnacentral:rRNA from 1 species
GACGAACGCUGGCGGCGUGCUUAACACAUGCAAGUCGAACGAAGAGCGAUGGAAGCUUGCUUCUAUCAAUCUUAGUGGCGAACGGGUGAGUAACGCGUAAUCAACCUGCCCUUCAGAGGGGGACAACAGUUGGAAACGACUGCUAAUACCGCAUACGAUCUAAUCUCGGCAUCGAGGAUAGAUGAAAGGUGGCCUCUACAUGUAAGCUAUCACUGAAGGAGGGGAUUGCGUCUGAUUAGCUAGUUGGGGGGGUAACGGCCCACCAAGGCGAUGAUCAGUAGCCGGUCUGAGAGGAUGAACGGCCACAUUGGGACUGAGACCCGGCCCAGACUCCUACGGGAGGCAGCAGUGGGGAAUCUUCCGCAAUGGACGAAAGUCUGACGGAGCAACGCCGCGUGAGCGAUGACGGCCUUCGGGUUGUAAAGCUCUGUUAAUCGGGACGAAAGGCCUUCUUGCGAAUAGUGAGAAGGAUUGACGGUACCGGAAUAGAAAGCCACGGCUAACUACGUG